GCCUCCCCCACGCCCCGCUCGCUUAUCCCCCCCACUCCCCACCCUCGUGAACUCGACUGCUUGCCACAACAACAACAAGCUGACUUGUGCCCGUAAGCUAGUUUGGACGUGAUGGACACCCCAGAGGACUGCAAGAUGACCACAGGCUUCCACCAAAAGGUUUUUGUCAACAGGAAUCUGACACUGGAAAAUGUCACUUGCUAUGGCUUUGACAUGGACUACACGCUCGCUAUGUACAUCUCUCCGGACUACGAGAGCCUGGGCUUUGAGCUUCUGAGGGACAGAAUGGUGUCGGUGGGCUACCCUCAUGAGGUCCUGCGCUACACCUAUGAUCCCACAUUCUCUACAAGGGGUCUGGUGAUGGACACCACCUAUGGGAACCUUCUGAAGGUGGACUCCAACGGGAACAUUCUGGUGUGCAGUCACGGCUUCGCUUUCCUCAAAGGAGAGGAGAUCAAUCGAUAUUAUCCCAACAACUUCAUUCAGAGGGACGAUACAGACCGUUUCUACGUCCUCAACACACUCUUCAACCUUUCAGAGACAUAUCUUUAUUCUUGCCUUGUGGACUUCUUCACCAACUGUAACAGAUACAAAAACGUGCUGAAAGGUCAUCACCAUGGCGACCUGUUCAUGUCGUACAGAAGUAUGUUCCAGGAUGUUAGAGACGCCAUGGAUUUCAUUCACGACACGGGAGUCCUGAAGGAGCAGACCCUGAAGAACCUGGACAAGUACGUCAACAAAGACCCGAACAUUGCUGUGUUGCUGAGUCGAAUCAAAAACGUGGCCAAAGUCUUCCUGGCCACCAACAGCGACUAUAUGUACACAGAGGCCAUCAUGAAAUACCUGCUAGAAAGUCCCACCAAGUCUGGAGGUCCCAAAAAGCCCUGGCGCUCCUUCUUCGACCUUGUGGUGGUGGACACCAGGAAGCCUCUGUUCUUCGCAGAGGGGACGGUACUGAGACAAGUGGACACGGUAGGACACUGGCGCUCCUUUCAGUGGGAACUGUUUCACACCUCCAUGUUUGGGACGCAGGACAAGGGCAAACUGCGUAUUGGCACCUACACUGGCGCCCUGCAGCAUGGAACCGUCUACUCUGGAGGAUCGUCGGACCUCGUGUGCGACCUGCUGGGCGUGAGAGGGAAAGACAUCCUUUAUGUCGGAGAUCACAUCUUUGGAGACAUCCUCAAGUCGAAGAAACGGCAGGGUUGGAAAACCUUCUUGGUGAUCCCAGAACUCACCAAGGAACUCAGCGUGUGGGAGGAGAAGAAAAAUUUCUUUGAAGAGCUGAAGGGUCUCGACGUCUUCCUAGCUGACCUGUACAAGCACCUGGACGGCAGCGGUAGGACUGCUCAUGACAUUCCCACCAUUCAGUCCAAACUAAAGAUGCUUACGCUAAGGAUGGACAUGUCUUACUGCCAGAUGGGAAGUGUUCUUCGUAGCGGCUCCAGACAGACAUUGUUUGCAAGUCAGCUGAUGCGUUAUGCUGACAUUUACUCUUCUAGCUGCCUCAACCUGCUGCAUUACUCUUUGGAUUUCUUCUUCAUGGCCCCUCCAGUGCUGAUGCCUCAUGAGGCCACAGCACUCAACUCUGUGGACUUUCCUCCCAAGAAGAUCAGCAACUGAGAACAGGCGCACAGCUGUCAAAAAGGCAGCUGUGAUGUUGGCUCCUCCAUUGGCUUCUCUCAGAAACACUGGCGUUCACCGCAGCCCUCCGACUUCCAGCGAUGAAGACAAGCGUGCCGCAUGAGAAAGACAUAAAGAUGGGUCGAAAGUAGUUUUACCUGCAGAAUGCUGAAGAAUUGUUUAGUGGCAGCCAUGAUGGACACAACUCAACCUUUUGCUCUCCUUGCUGGAUUAAAGCUGCUAUGCACCCUUGAACCAAUAAAUAUGUUGUCCAGUGAAAA